rnacentral:rRNA from 1 species
GACGAACGCUGGCGGCGUGCUUAACACAUGCAAGUCGAGCGGGGUCCAACUUGUCGCAAGACAAGGGAAGGCCUAGCGGCGAACGGGUGAGUAACACGUGAGGAACCUGCCCCGAAGACUGGGAUAACACCGGGAAACCGGUGCUAAUACCGGAUGUCCACCGAGGAUCGCAUGGUCUUUGGUGGAAAUGGAUUCCGCUUCGGGAGGGCCUCGCGGCCUAUCAGCUUGUUGGCGGGGUAACGCCCACCAAGGCGACGACGGGUAGCUGGUCUGAGAGGACGGCCAGCCACACUGGGACUGAGACACGGCCCAGACUCCUACGGGAGGCAGCAGUGGGGAAUCUUGCUCAAUGGGCGAAAGCCUGAAGCAGCAACGCCGCGUGCGGGACGAAGGCCU